GUGUAUGCCCAUUUAGUAGCACAUAUAUUGCAACUGAAAAAAUCAGAAAAGAUGAGCAUGGCACCUAUGUUAGGAUGAAAUGCCACUUCAUGAAGAAUUUAAUAUUUUC